rnacentral:tRNA from 10 species
GGGCCUGUAGCGCAGUCCGGUAGCGCACCUCGUUCGCAUCGAGGGGGUCAGGGGUUCAAAUCCCCUCAGGUCCA